AAGUCAGUAACAAGGUCUCCGUUGGUGAACCAGCGGAGGGAUCAUUACGAGAGUUGCAAACUCCCUAAACCCACUGUAAAUAUACCUAUUUGGCUACUUCGGCAGGCCGGUCCCAGGGCGGGUCCCAGUGGCCUUUUUAGACGCCUGCCAAAGCCUUAUAAAACUCUUACUGUUCACUGUAUUCUGAGCAUAAAAACAAAUAGUUA
rnacentral:misc_RNA from 1 species